GCGUUCGUAGCUCAUUUGGAUAGAGCACCAGACUUCGAAUCUGGGGGUGGCAGGUUCAAAUCCUGCCGGACGCA
rnacentral:tRNA from 1 species